GAGUGAACGCUGGCGGUAGGCCUAACACAUGCAAGCCGAACGGCAGCACAGUAAGAGCUUGCUCUUACGGGUGGCGAGUGGCGGACGGGUGAGGAAUACAUCGGAAUCUACUUUUUCGUGGGGGAUAACGUAGGGAAACUUACGCUAAUACCGCAUACGACCUACGGGUGAAAGCAGGGGAUCUUCGGACCUUGCGCGAUUGAAUGAGCCGAUGUCGGAUUAGCUAGUUGGCGGGGUAAAGGCCCACCAAGGCGACGAUCCGUAGCUGGUCUGAGAGGAUGAUCAGCCACACUGGAACUGAGACACGGUCCAGACUCCUACGGGAGGCAGCAGUGGGGAAUAUUAGACAAUGGGCGCAAGCCUGAUCCAGCCAUACCGCGUGGGUGAAGAAGGCCUUCGGGUUGUAAAGCCCUUUUGUUGGGAAAGAAAAGCAGCAGGUUAAUACCCCGCUGUUCUGACGGUACCCAAAGAAUAAGCACCGGCUAACUUCGUG
rnacentral:rRNA from 1 species